GGGGGGCAGCCUAAGAAGCAGGAGAGAAGGCUUUGUCACGCUUCAAAGAGAGGCCUUGCCGGGGUAGGGAGAGCCGACAAAAAUGCAGAAGGAAAAGAAAGACAGUCAGAGUAAGAUAUUUUCAGCGUGGGUGCCAGGGGGAAUCCUGUGCGACCAAGUCAGAUGACAUUCCUUCUCAGCGCAAACAUCUCCCCUGAUCAAAAGACAGAUGCAGGAGAAGGAAGAAAGUACUGAUACCACAAGGGGGAUGAACUUCGAAAACCCUAAGUGAAAGAAGACACUUAGAAAAAACCAUACAGGGACACCUGGGUGACUCACUCGGUUGAGCGUCCGACUGGUGAUUUCGGCUCAGGUCAUGAUCUCGGGGUCCUGGGAGGUCCUCGAGCCCCGCGCCAGUUUCCGUGCUCAGCAGGGAGUCUGCUUGAAGAUUCUGCCCCUCCACUUUCUCUAAAAUGAAUAAAUAAAUUUUUAAAAAA